AGCGAACGCUGGCGGCAGGCCUAAUACAUGCAAGUCGAGCGCACCUUCGGGUGAGCGGCGGACGGGUGAGUAACGCGUGGGAACGUGCCCUUUGGUACGGGAUAACUGAGGGAAACUUCAGCUAAUACCGUAUGUGCCCUACGGGGGAAAGAUUUAUCGCCAUUGGAGCGGCCCGCGUUGGAUUAGGUAGUUGGUGAGGUAAAGGCUCACCAAGCCUACGAUCCAUAGCUGGUCUGAGAGGAUGAUCAGCCACACUGGGACUGAGACACGGCCCAGACUCCUACGGGAGGCAGCAGUAGGGAAUCUUGCGCAAUGGGCGAAAGCCUGACGCAGCCAUGCCGCGUGAAUGAUGAAGGUCUUAGGAUUGUAAAAUUCUUUCACCGGGGAAGAUAAUGACGGUACCCGGAGAAGAAGCCCCGGCUAACUUCGUGCCAGCAGCCGCCGCGGUAA
rnacentral:rRNA from 1 species